AUUACCAUUCCCAAUUUACUCAUUCUCUCUCUGCAAUUUUCUCUCUUCUCUCUGCCUUUAGCCACGGAAAAUCAUAAUCUACAACGACUCUCAAAGCCGCUCCACUUAUUUCUCUCAAGAAUUGCUCCGAAAUUUUUGUUGCAAGGCUUGCAAAGUCGAUUUGGUCAGCGUGGAUCACUUGAUAGAAUGGAUGGCAUCUAUUCGAGAAAGCCACCAAUGUCAUAGCUGAUGUGGGGAGGUAUUAACAUCAAAAGAGUCCCCGCAAAUAUGUGCACCGUUGUCAACAUAUACUGCAAAUAUUGCCGCCUCAAAGUUGAAUUUGAAGUUGGUCCGAGAAAUGUGGUACAGAACUGCCAUUUGGUGUUUUUCAAGUUUGACGAAAGUGUUCACGGUGUUCCGCCCUAUUUGUGGGCUGGAACAAGUAGUGGGCUUUAAGCCCAAAUGGCAAUUGAAAAAAAAAAAAAAAGAAGAAAGAAGUUUGCUCUCGCAAGCUUAACUCGCGUGCAGCAUUAACAAAAGAAAAAAAGCGCUGCCGUGAGUUACAGCCGAGAGAAAACCAUAGAAAGAGAAUGGAGAAAAAGGAGAGAGAGAAAGAGAAAAAGAGUAGGGUUUUGGUGCUUGUGUAAGAUGAUUGGGUGACAAAAUAUUAUCCGUUUCGGCUCAAAUUUGAUGUGGAGAAUCCUUAUGGCGAGCUCUUCCAAUCUACCGAACUUGAUUUCUCAUUUAGCAUCUCUUUAGUACUCUCUUGAGUACUCCUAUUUUGGUGAGACAUAAGCUUUUCUUUGGUGUUAUUGUUAUUAUCCAUCUUUGAUGAUGAUGUCUAUUGUAAUGACUGAGAAAAUU